GAUGUUCUAGAAUGGUUGAAGAAACGCUCUCGACUCGGCUUCCUUCUCUCUUUCUCCUCAUACAGGAGGAGAUCGAGAUUACGUUUGACUUGAAAUGGCGUCGUUCUACUUCGAGAUUUCCUUGAGUUUUCGAUUCAUCUGUGCACUUUGAAGUAAACGGAAAAACCAGAAUACGUUUCAUCGGAGAUUCGAGAACUAUCACGAUUGCCCAACACAAAAUUUUGGAUCUCUUGAUUCUUUGAGGUAUGUUGAGUUUUGGUAAACCUUUAGCCUCUCUAUUUGAUCUUUUCAAAUUCAAUAGG